rnacentral:rRNA from 1 species
GUGGGGAAUAUUGGGCAAUGGGCGAAAGCCUGACCCAGCAACGCCGCGUGAGGGAAGAAGGCCUUCGGGUUGUAAACCUCUGUCCUUGGUGACGAAAAAAAUGACGGUAGCCAAGGAGGAAGCCCCGGCUAACUACGUGCCAGCAGCCGCGGUAAUACGUAGGGGGCGAGCGUUGUCCGGAAUUACUGGGCGUAAAGGGUGCGUAGGUGGCCUUUUAAGUUGGAUGUGAAAUACCCGGGCUUAACUUGGGGGGUGCAUCUAAUACUGGAGGGCUAGAGUGCAGGAGAGUGAAGCAGAAUUCCUAGUGUAGCGGUGAAAUGCGUAGAUAUCUGGAGGAACAUCAGUGGCGAAGGCGACACCCUGGACCGAUACUGACACUGAGGUGCGAAAGCGUGGGUAGCGAACAGGAUUAGAAACCCUGGUAGUCC